rnacentral:lncRNA from 1 species
AAAAUUUGGUUCAUAUAAUCUCCCUGCAAAAUGAAACAAAAUUUCAUUUUAAAAAAUAGGGGUCCAUGCACUUGUUUUCAAAUUAAAUCAGUUUGAAUGAUAAAAAUCAGUUGGAAAAUGCAUCUUUUCUCGGUAUGUCACAGUUUGACGUCGCAAAAAUAACAUUUUACGUUAGCAACGUCAUUACCUCCCCUGUUACUGUAUCAUAUGCCC